rnacentral:rRNA from 1 species
GUCGAGCGGAAGGCCUCUUCGGAGGUACUCGAGCGGCGGACGGCUGAGUAACGCGUAGGAACGUACCCCAAACUGAGGGAUAAGCACCAGAAAUGGUGUCUAAUACCGCAUGUGCUCUAAGGAGUAAAGCUUCGGCGGUUUGGGAACGGCCUGCGUAUGAUUAGCUUGUUGGUGAGGUAAUGGCUCACCAAGGCGACGAUCAUUAGCUGGUCUGAGAGGAUGAUCAGCCAGACUGGGACUGAGAACGGCCCAGACUCCUACGGGAGGCAGCAGUAGGGAAUUUUCCACAAUGGGCGAAAGCCUGAUGGAGCAACGCCGCGUGCAGGAUGAAUGCCUUCGGGUUGUAAACUGCUUUUAUAUGUGACGAUUAUGACGGUAGCAUAUGAAUAAGGAUCGGCUAACUCCGUGCCAGCAGCCGCGGUCAUACGGAGGAUCCAAGCGUUAUCCGGAAUUACUGGGCGUAAAGAGUUGCGUAGGUGGCAGGGUAAGUAGAUAGUGAAAGCGUGUGGCUCAACCAUACAUCCAUUAUCUAAACUGCUCAGCUAGAGGAUGAGAGAGGUUAUUGGAAUUCCCAGUGUAGGAGUGAAAUCCGUAGAUAUUGGGAGGAACACCGAUGGCGUAGGCAGAUAACUGGCUCAUUCCUGACACUAAGGCACGAAAGCGUGGGGAGC